rnacentral:rRNA from 1 species
GACGAACGCUGGCGGCGUGCUUAACACAUGCAAGUCGAGCGGUAAGGCCCUUUCGGGGUACACGAGCGGCGAACGGGUGAGUAACACGUGGGUGACCUGCCCUCAGCUCUGGGAUAAGCCUGGGAAACCGGGUCUAAUACUGGAUAUGACUCCAUGACGCAUGUUGUGGGGUGGAAAAGCCCUUGUGCGGCUGAGGAUGGGCCCGCGGCCUAUCAGCUUGUUGGU